GAUGAACGCUAGCGGCAGGCCUAACACAUGCAAGUCGAGGGAGAGGUUAUCUUCGGGUAACCAAAACGGCGCACGGGUGCGUAACGCGUAUACAAUCUGCCUUUCACAUAGGGAUAGCCCGAAGAAAUUUGGAUUAAUACCUAAUGGUAUAUAAGAGCGGCAUCGUUUUUAUAUUAAAGCUACGGUGGUGAAAGAUGAGUAUGCGUUCUAUUAGCUAGUUGGAGAGGUAACGGCUCCCAAGGCGACGAUAGAUAGGGGUUCUGAGAGGGAUGUCCCCCACACUGGUACUGAGAUACGGACCAGACUCCUACGGGAGGCAGCAGUGAGGAAUAUUGGACAAUGGUCGGAAGACUGAUCCAGCCAUGCCGCGUGCAGGAUGAAGGUCCUAUGGAUUGUAAACUGCUUUUGUAAGGGAAGAAUAAGGAGUACGUGUACUUUGAUGACGGUACCUUACGAAUAAGCAUCGGCUAACUCCGUGCCAGCAGCCGCGGUAAUACGGAGGAUGCGAGCGUUAUCCGGAAUCAUUGGGUUUAAAGGGUCCGUAGGCGGGCUGAUAAGUCAGAGGUGAAAGCGCUUAGCUCAACUAAGCAACUGCCUUUGAAACUGUCAGUCUUGAAUGAUUGUGAAGUAGUUGGAAUGUGUAGUGUAGCGGUGAAAUGCUUAGAUAUUACACAGAACACCGAUAGCGAAGGCAUAUUACUAACAAUUUAUUGACGCUGAUGGACGAAAGCGUGGGGAGCGAACAGG
rnacentral:rRNA from 1 species